GGUGCAUUAGCUAGUUGGUGAGGUAACGGCUCACCAAGGCCACGAUGCAUAGCCGACCUGAGAGGGUGAUCGGCCACACUGGGACUGAGACACGGCCCAGACUCCUACGGGAGGCAGCAGUAGGGAAUCUUCCGCAAUGGACGAAAGUCUGACGGAGCAACGCCGCGUGAGUGAUGAAGGCUUUCGGGUCGUAAAACUCUGUUGUUAGGGAAGAACAAGUAUGAGAGUAACUGCUCGUACCUUGACGGUACCUAACCAGAAAGCCACGGCUAACUACGUGCCAGCAGCCGCGGUAAUACGUAGGUGGCAAGCGUUAUCCGGAAUUAUUGGGCGUAAAGCGCGCGCAGGCGGUUUCUUAAGUCUGAUGUG
rnacentral:rRNA from 1 species